UACGGGGGGAGCAAGCGUUGUUCGGAUUUACUGGGCGUAAAGGGCGCGUAGGCGGUCGUGACAAGUCACUUGUGAAAUCUCCGGGCUUAACCCGGAAAGGUCAACCGAUACUGCGGGGCUAGAGUGCAGAAGGGGCAACUGGAAUUCUCGGUGUAGCGGUGAAAUGCGUAGAUAUCGAGAGGAACACCUGCGGCGAAGGCGGGUUGCUGGGCUGACACUGACGCUGAUGUGCGAAAGCUAGGGGGCGAACGGG
rnacentral:rRNA from 1 species